rnacentral:guide_RNA from 1 species
AUAUAACAAAUUCACUACAAAUGAGUUGGGUAGAACAAUGUUAGAUAAU